UAAAAAUAACAUUUUUUGGGUCCAUUGAAACAUAAAUAAUUAGGUAUCAGAAUAUUUUUUUAACUUAUAGAAAAUAGCAUACGCUUUAAUUUUAAUAUGUUUAAAGUUCACAAUAUUUUUGAAAUAUUUUCAAAAGUUGAAAAGAUAACUUUUUGUGCAAAAUUAAUACUUCUUAUAUUGGUAUUUUGAAUUCCCCAAGGCAAGUAGGACAGAUUCCCAAAACAGUUACACUAAUUGAAAAUAAAAUACCUAAGGUAUUUUUUUAGAAAAUGAAAAAUAUAUUGUGUUUUAGGUCUAUUCCUGUGAACUUUCAGCAGCUAUUUAAUUGUUAUUAAAUAUAUUCAAAAAACCGUUCCAGUAUCUCUUUCAAGUGUAUCUGUUUUCGUGUAUUUAAUCAAAUCAUUCGAAAUGAAAUUACCAAAGAGUGAAAAUAAUGUAGAACACCUUGUUGAAUACAUGGAAAGAUCUGGAGUGUUAUGUUGAAUUGAAAAUGGAACAAUUGAAACAAAAAAUGAAUAAUCUAACCAAAGGCAUGGAGUACAUUAAAAUGUCUGAUUUGGUAGAGAAUAAUGCCUAUCGAGUGGUUUCAAUGAAAAAUUUGACAACGAGAAGCGUUAUUGUGGCACAGUUGCCCGAAAUCCGACAAGUUUUUUUCCUCAGAAUACAGUUGACGGACGAUGAAAUUAAAACGUACGACGGCAACACCAAAAUGUCACUUUGUUAUAGAAUAAAGACGGGAAAUGCAUAUUUAUUUGACUUUCAUUAAAAUUCUUUUAAUUUAUUAACUUUUUUUUACAAUGAUCUAUUUAUAUAUAUAUUUUACACUGAUUUAU